CUUUCAGCUUGGAGGGGGCAAAGGUGCAACUUUCUUCGGUCGUCCCGAAUCCGGGUUCAUCCGACACCAGCCGCCUCCACCAUGCCGCCGAAGUUCGACCCCAACGAGAUCAAAGUCAUAUAUCUGAGGUGCACCGGAGGUGAAGUCGGUGCCACUUCUGCGCUAGCCCCCAAGAUCGGCCCCCUGGGUCUGUCUCCGAAAAAGGUGGGUGAUGACAUUGCCGACAUUGCCAAGGCAACGGGUGACUGGAAGGGCCUGAGGAUUACAGUGAAACUGACCAUUCAGAACAGACAGACCCAGAUUGAGGUGGUGCCUUCUGCCUCUGCCCUGAUCAUCAAAGCCCUCAAGAACCACCAAGAGACAGAAAGAAACAGAAAAACAUUAAACACAGUGGGAAUAUCACUUUUGAUGAGAUCAUCAACAUUGCUCGACAGAUGGAUGCGGCACCGAUCCUUAGCCAGAGAACUCUCUGGAACCAUUAAAGAGAUCCUGGGGACUGCCCAGUCUGUGGGCGGUAAUGUUGAUGGCUGCCACCCUCAUGACAUCAUAGAUGACAUCAACAGUGGUGCUGUGGAAUGCCCAGCCAGUUAAGCACAAAGGAAAGUAUUUCAAUAAAGGAUCAUUUGACAACUGAAAAAAAAAAAAAA